GAGCAAUUAACUUGCGCUUAAAUUUCGGGACGAAAUUUCUUUAAGGAGGGUGGAUUGUAAUACCCAAAAAAUUCAAGUUAAUUUCCAAUGACGUUUUGGAAAUGAUUUCGUGGUCGUGGACACGAGUACGAAGCUUGGAGGAGUGUGGAAUUAGUUCGAACGAUUUUAUUUUGAAAACUGAACGUUUUAGGGGGGUCAAAGGAGUUGACUUUUUAUACAUUGGGAAAUUGGGAAAACUUCCUUCAUGAAAGUUGUAGAGCGCGUCGAUACGAGUUCGUGGACAUAUGGAACGUAAUAUUCGGAGUUCGUAUGAAUAAGUUACGAAUAUUUGAAAAUUGGGAUUUUCUAUAAAUAUGAAAAAAAAUCCGAAUAUUGCAAAUGAGGACAGAAUUUCUGGAACUCCAGAAAUUUCUCCCCAUUUCUCUCCCGAGACCAGCCGCGACCCCCUCCCUUCGUCACCUUCGUUCUUCCUCAUCCGGCCACCGAUUGAUGUGAAACAAAGUGGGUUUUUCUGGUCUCGACCCCCUUUACGAGUUUGUAGAAGAAAUCGAAGUGAAAUACGAGCUGUAUGAGGCUCUACAAGGUCGAGAAGAGAGCCUCGUCGGAGACGAAAUCGCUCUUCCCCACUUUUUCUGGGCUCUACUUUGUCUGGCCAUAUCUUCCUCUACAGGCCUCCGAUCGACCUGAUUCCAAAAGCAAUUUUUCUCACCGUGAAGUUUUCUACAACUUUCCAGAAGACAUCGACUUGAGAUAACCAUCGUGGUGGCCGCUAGAAGACCGAGAAGCCGCACAACCGAGCUGGAAAUCGUCUUCCUUCGCCACCUUGGUUCUCCCAGCUCCGGCCACUAUAGCUCGAGUUCUUUGAGGGUUUUUCUAGCCCAGAGGAAGUAGAAGCUAUCCCCAAGAAGGCUUGCAGCGAUUUGAUCCGGGGUGAUCGAAUUUUGAAGAUUGGGAAACUAGGGUUCUUCGGGUUUCAAAACUUGCGAGGUGAUUGACGGUUUGAGUUGGUGGACGAUUGUGGAUCGUAUUUUGAGCUGAAUUGAAGACGCAGCGGGAUUAUCGAGCGGGUAAUCCUACAGGACAGGAGAACCAGGACGGUGAUCGUGCGGUUAGAGCAAUUGUUAGAGUUUUACAGCAAUUGUAAGUUGUGAGGUGUGUUAUGCUCAUUUAGAGCUUUACAAUAUUGCUUGUGAGAGUGAAUUGUAAUAAUGAACUCGAGGUUUCGAGAUUUGGAGUUUGUGUACCUUGUGGUGAGAUUAUAUUGAGAAAAAAAUUCAGAACGUUUAUUUGAUUAAGUGGUUUAAUUCAUGUUUCGGAUUUGAAUUUAUUAUUCAAAAUUCGGGGCGUGACAGUUUGGUAUCAGAGCGUAAGGUGCAUAUUUGGUGAUGUGUCAAUACCUUCCGAGUGAUGGCCCGUCUGCAGCGGAUCCCCAUCGUGUGCUCUUCGGUAUUGGCUAAGUCAUUGGGUAUGCGUGAGUGUUGGGAGUUGUUUAGGCCGCUAGGUCGUUUAGGGAACGUGAAUACCUUCCCUAUAGUAUUGACUUGGUUAAUAUGAAAUUGUAUUUGACUUAUACUGUGUUUUAAGUGUUAUACAUGUAUUAGCCAAGCAUACUAUACUCCUUAGGUGAUGGAUAUUCGAAGGGGUUGUACUUAGAACCUUACAGUUGUCUUGUAGGUUCGUAUGGGAAUAAGUUCAGUGGCCGCAAGUUACAAUCCUUGAGGAAUAGGAACCUCUUGAUUCAACUCUGUUAAGUCAACGAGGAUUGUUGUAUGGAAGUGAGGUUCUUUUGGAUGUUGAAGUGUUUGGUUGAAGGCAUGAUGUGGACCUAUGCACGUACCUAGUGUGGAUACGAGUAUUAAUGGAUAGAAAGUUUGCCUUCUUAAGUUGGACGUACAUAUGUUUUUGGAUGAGAUGUACAUGUCAAAUAAUAGAUAUCUUGUUUUGUAAUGAGAUGUCCUUGUAGAG